GGAGGGCGGUUUCAAGCCCCCCCUUACUACAGAUAAACAACAUCGCCGGAAAGAGGCGAGAGAGCGGCGAAAAACACCGACAGACGGUCGCUGGAGCCGCUUUCGGAGCGUGGAAACGGAUUCCCGAGCGCAGUUAGCGACAGAAAGAGCAAAGGGGCCAACUGGUGUUGAGGCCCUGGGCUGAGCGUGGAGGAAGCUGUAACCCCUGGAAAAAAUCUGUCCAAAAACAUGUGACUUCAAACAUCAGACACAAGCUGAGGAAGGAGGCCUCUGUGGCCCCGUGCUGCCUCCCUGUGGCCGAAAGAAAGACUGCACGGAUACGGCACAGUAUCUGCAACAACGCCGAGUUCAGUUUCCUCAAAACUGACCAAGACUUCACUGGGAAAUUAAACUCCAGCUUUUAAUUGAUCUUAAAUAUCCUCCUCGCUUGCAGGCUGCCAUGAUCUAAAAGUGAGAUUGUUCUGUCAGUGGUUUCAAACUCAUCCUCUCAUACGAGACGUGUGGAUUUUUAGGAAAAAUGUAAAAACAAAUGUAUUAAUUAUUGGUUAGCUAGAACGAUCCUCGGUCCUGCAUUUGAAUGUUUUGGUGUGUAAAUGAUUCAUACUUACUGCUGCAAAGACUGCAACAUAAUUUUCCUCGUGGCAACUCUGACGUCCACUAAAAGUGCUUUUUUUGGUCACUGACAGGCUUAAUAAAUAUUCAUCAUUUACACACCAAAAACAUCUAAAUAUAGAGUUUAAAAAUACUUAAAGACUGCUGGGAAAUACUAAUAUAAUGCAAUAUGAUGCAGAAACACCAACAGUCUUUUUGUCUUCCGUCUCAUUCUGUGAAAUUAAUGUGUAAAAACUGUCCUCACACCUGUAAACAUGUCACCAAGUCAAACUGUACUGAAUUGUUUGUGACUGAAAUAAAAAACCACAGGUCAGUCGAG